AAAGAUGAGGCCAAAAAGGUGGCCCCUGCGGCUAAACCAGAGCCAGAGCCUAAGCCUAAAGCCAAGCCUGAACCUGAAGUAAAGGCUAAAGCUGUGCCCAAACCUGAGCCCAAACCUGAGCCCAAACCAGAGCCCAAACCAGAGCGCAAGCCAGAGCCUGCUCCAGUGUCCAAACCAGCAGUGGAGCCUAAAGUGGAACCAGAGCCAGAAGCUAAACCUCUGAAGAAACCAGUGACUCCACCAACCAAAGUCGCUGAAGAGGUAAAAGUUCAGCCUGAAGAGAAGAAGGCCGAAAAGAAGGCAGAGCCGGAGCCUCCUAAAAUCAAGCCAAAGGAGCCAGAAAAGCCCAAGGAGGAAGUGCGUAAACCAGAGCCAGAGGUGAAGAAACCUGAGGUGAAGAAACCUGAGGAGAAGAAACCUGAUGUGAAGAAACCUGCAGUGAAAAAGCCCGAGUUGAAGAAGCCUGAGGAGAAGAAGCCAGAGGAGAAGAAGCUCGAGGAGAAGAGGCCUGAGAUGAAGCCUGAGGAAAAGAAGCCUGAGGUGAAGAAGCCUGAGGUGAAGCCUGAGGUGAAGAAGCCUGAGGUGAAGGCCCCAGAGCCAGAGACCAAACCAGAGCCUGCCCCUGCUCCAAAGGAACCUCCAAAGAAAGUGCCUCAAGCACCAGUACAAAAGGAGGUGGUGGCUCCUCCUCCACCUCCUCCACCUCCCCCAGUGCCACAAAAGGUGGAAAAAGAGAUAGAAACUCCACAGAAGAAGAAGCCAAUGCCAUCUAAAGUCCCUGUGGAGGAAUCUUCUCCUGAGCCUCCAAAAGUCAAGAAACCUGAACCAGUUAUAGAACCAAAAGAAGAAUCCCUGAAGAAGGAGAAAGCUCCCCAACCUAAACCUGUGUCCGAUGAGGUUCGAGAGCCCAAGAAAGUUCCUCCCAAAGUGGUGGAGCCUGAGGCGCUCCCUGAUCAAAAAACUGAACCUGAUGAGCGUAAGGUGGAGGUGAAAGAAAAAGUAGU
ensembl:lncRNA